rnacentral:tRNA from 1 species
UAGGUUGCAGCUUAAUUGGUUGAGCAUCUGGCCGUUAACCAGGAGGCGAUGGGAUCAAAGCCCUUUAACCUAG